CACUUGAUAACUUGUCCCCAGCAUGGUAACAAGCCGAGCGAACACAUCCAGAUAUCCCCUUGACAAGAGGGAUGCAAGGCUACCGGCUGUGUAGUUCAAUCACCUGGCAUUCGCUAGUGUAAAAUACUAGGUACCAAAAUAGUGAGUGCGUUCAUGAUGGUUCAAUCUAUUUGAAUUAUCUCCAUCCAUACAGAAAAGUUUAGUUUAAUAAUUUAUCUCAUUGUAUUUUUGAGAUAUUACAGGCUGGCAUACAGCUAAUUCAAUUAUACUAUAAAGUUAUUUUCUUUUCAAACCCAAAAAUGCAAAACUGUGACCUUUGAGCACAAAAAUCACCAUGCAGUGCCCUUGCCUCUUUGGCAUAUGCAACUUUUUUGCUUCCAUACUGUUUUUGUUUUGCUUAGAGAUUGAGGUUUUGCACUUUUGAGUUUGAAAUGACUAUAGAAAACAUAUAUAGCUUACGUUUUGGAAACACAAACAGUGCUCAAUACCAUAAAGAUGGACUAGAUAUAUAUGAAAAUAUAUUUAUUUAAUGAUAAACAGUAUUUCAAGUUCAAACGAUAUGUGUAGAUCAUUCAUUAACAACAGGCAGUAUACAGCUGUACAGUAUAACUGUUAACAUUACUGCUUACACUCCAAAGACUACACAGUACACAAUAAAUAAGUAUGUAAUUUUUAUCAAAAAUAUAUUGAAAUGUUAGUAGCAAUUUACUGCUACAGUUCUCUUACAAUAAAUAUUAUGUGACAGGACACAAACACAUUGACACAGGACAAUGUCAAUGUCAUUGCAAGCAAUAAAGCAGGAUUAAUUAAUGUAUGAUUGUAUGUCUAGUGUCAACUCAUUUUACACUAAUGGGCUAAAGUUAUUUAUAAUAAUUUACUUAACAUUAUGUGUACCAUAUGAAAUGUUUAAUGUGUGCUACAAGCAAUUCACACAAUGUUCAUUGGACAAUGUGUCAUCGCAAGCCAUAAAAAGCACUAUUGAAUGUGCCUAACUGUGCGUUCUACUACGCUAAUAUAUUUAAAAUACUAAUAUAGGUGAGUUUCA